GAUGAGGUGGCUGAGUAUGGUAAAGCAGCAGUUUGCUAAAUUGUCGGAGACAAGGAGGUCUCCACAUGGGUUCGAGUCCCAUUCUCAUCG
rnacentral:tRNA from 1 species